ensembl:lncRNA
UUUUCACUUCACUACGUUGUGUAUGCUAACGCUAGCUAGUCAGCGAACGAUCGAUCAGCUGUAUUCUCGCGUCCCAGUUGCUACUGUUACGUUAGGAUCCAUUGGAAAGAGGGGGGUCAAGGAUGGCAGAGUAUAUUCCAUGCCGUUCAUAUCCACUCCAGCCACAACGCACUGACAACGUGGAUUCUGUGACGCCAUCUUUAGACCCUGGGUGGUCCGUCCAUUAUUUUGGAAAGCCCUCACUCUUUCCAUCUCGGAAAACUCUGAACCCCGUUAUUAAAAAGAUAUGUAUUCGACUUCAACUUCAUAUUCAACUUUUUUACCAAGCAAACAAAUAAAAGACACAGUGCUUUCAAAGGGAAAAGCCAUCGGCGCAAACGAAAAAC